rnacentral:rRNA from 1 species
UUGGUUAAGUUAGAAAGGGCGCACGGUGGAUGCCUUGGCACUAGGAGCCGAAGAAGGACGGGACUAACACCGAUAUGCUUUGGGGAGCUGUACGUAAGCGUUGAUCCAGAGAUUUCCGAAUGGGGGAACCCACUAUCUUUAGUCGGAUAGUAUCCUUACGUGAAUACAUAGCGUGAGGAAGGCAGACCCAGGGAACUGAAACAUCUAAGUACCUGGAGGAAGAGAAAGAAAAAUCGAUUUCCUGAGUAGCGGCGAGCGAAACGGAAAGAGCCCAAACCAAGAAGCUUGCUUCUUGGGGUUGUAGGACACUCUAUACGGAGUUACAAAAGAAAGUUAUAAAUGAAGCGGUCUGGAAAGGCCCGCCAAAGACGGUAACAGCCCGGUAGUUGAAAUGGCUUUCCCUCCAGAGUGGAUCCUGAGUACGGCGGAACACGUGAAAUUCCGUCGGAAUCCGGGAGGACCAUCUCCCAAGGCUAAAUACUCCCUAGUGACCGAUAGUGAACCAGUACCGUGAGGGAAAGGUGAAAAGCACCCCGGAAGGGGAGUGAAACAGUUCCUGAAACCGUGUGCCUACAAGUAGUUAGAGCCCGUUAAUGGGUGAUAGCGUGCCUUUUGUAGAAUGAACCGGCGAGUUACGAUUUGUUGCAAGGUUAAGCGGAAAAAGCGGAGCCGUAGCGAAAGCGAGUCUGAAUAGGGCGCAUAAGUAACAGGUCGUAGACCCGAAACCAGGUGAUCUACCCAUGUCCAGGAUGAAGGUAAGGUAAUACUUACUGGAGGUCCGAACCCACGCACGUUGAAAAGUGCGGGGAUGAGGUGUGGGUAGCGGAGAAAUUCCAAUCGAACUUGGAGAUAGCUGGUUCUCUCCGAAAUAGCUUUAGGGCUAGCCUCGAGGUAAAGAGUCAUGGAGGUAGAGCACUGUUUGGACUAGGGGCCCUUCUCGGGUUACCGAAUUCAGAUAAACUCCGAAUGCCAUGUACUUAUACUCGGGAGUCAGACUGCGAGUGAUAAGAUCCGUAGUCGAAAGGGAAACAGCCCAGACCACCAGUUAAGGUCCCCAAAUAUAUGUUAAGUGGAAAAGGAUGUGGGGUUGCUUAGACAACCAGGAUGUUGGCUUAGAAGCAGCCACCAUUGAAAGAGUGCGUAAUAGCUCACUGGUCGAGUGACCCCGCGCCGAAAAUGUACCGGGGCUAAACAUAUUACCGAAACUGUGGAUGAACCUCUUUAGAGGUUCGUGGUAGGAGAGCGUUCUAAGGGCGGUGAAGUCAGACCGGAAGGACUGGUGGAGCGCUUAGAAGUGAGAAUGCCGGUAUGAGUAGCGAAAGAAGGGUGAGAAUCCCUUCCACCGAAUAUCUAAGGUUUCCUGAGGAAGGCUCGUCCGCUCAGGGUUAGUCGGGACCUAAGCCGAGGCCGAUAGGCGUAGGCGAUGGACAACAGGUAGAGAUUCCUGUACCAGUGCUAAUUGUUUAACCGAUGGGGUGACACAGAAGGAUAGGGAAUCGCACGAAUGGAAAUGUGCGUCCAAGCAGUGAGUGUGAGAAGUAGGCAAAUCCGCUUCUCGCGAAGCAUGAGCUGUGAUGGGGAAGGAAAUUAAGUACGGAAGUUCCUGAUUUCACGCUGUCAAGAAAAGCCUCUAGGAAGAGUAGUACUGCCCGUACCGCAAACCGACACAGGUAGAUGAGGAGAGAAUCCUAAGGUGAGCGAGAGAACUCUCGUUAAGGAACUCGGCAAAAUGACCCCGUAACUUCGGGAGAAGGGGUGCUCUAUUAGGGUGCAAGCCCGAGAGAGCCGCAGUGAAUAGGCCCAGGCGACUGUUUAGCAAAAACACAGGUCUCUGCAAAACCGUAAGGUGACGUAUAGGGGCUGACGCCUGCCCGGUGCUGGAAGGUUAAGAGGAGUGCUUAGCUUCGGCGAAGGUACGAAUUGAAGCCCCAGUAAACGGCGGCCGUAACUAUAACGGUCCUAAGGUAGCGAAAUUCCUUGUCGGGUAAGUUCCGACCCGCACGAAAGGCGCAACGAUCUGGGCACUGUCUCAACGAGAGACUCGGUGAAAUUAUAGUACCUGUGAAGAUGCAGGUUACCCGCGACAGGACGGAAAGACCCCGUGGAGCUUUACUGCA